rnacentral:rRNA from 1 species
CGCCUUUAGAACAAAAAUUAAAGGUCCGGCCUGCCCAGUGAACUAUUUCAACGGCCGCGGUAUCCUGACCGUGCUAAGGUAGCGCAAUCCCUUGCCUUUUAAUUGAUGGCUAGUAUGAAUGGCUAGACGAGUGCAACCUUGUCUCUAGUAAACACUAUAAAAUUUAACCUUCAGGUGAAGAGGCCUGAAUAAUCAAGUAGGACGAGAAGACCCUAUCGAGCUUUACCGCACGUCAGCUCUCUCAGCUAUCGAUAAGUUUUGUUGGGGCAACAAAAAACCAAAAAAAGCGUUUUUCUACAUAUUCGGCCAAUAAGCCCUCCGACCCAAUUAAUUUGAUCACGAGAAAUAGCUACCGUAGGGAUAACAGACUAAUUCCUUCCGAGAGCCCACAUUGACGAAGGAGCUUGGCACCUCGAUGUUGGCUUAGGGCCCCUCCAAAAGGCAGCACUUUUGUAAGUAGGUUUGUUCAACCUUUAAAGCCCUA